GUGGAUUAGAUACCCUGGUAGUCCACGCUGUAAACGAUGUCAACUAGCUGUUGGUUAUAUGAAUAUAAUUAGUGGCGCAGCAAACGCGAUAAGUUGACCGCCUGGGGAGUACGGUCGCAAGAUUAAAACUCAAAGGAAUUGACGGGGGCCCGCACAAGCGGUGGAGCAUGUGGUUUAAUUCGAUGCAACGCGAAGAACCUUACCUACCCUUGACAUACAGUGAAGCUUGCAGAGAUGUGAGUGUGCCUUCGGGAACACUGAUACAGGUGCUGCACGGCCGUCGACAACU
rnacentral:rRNA from 1 species